AGCUGGGUUCACAGCCUCCUCUUCCUCUGCUGCAUUAACGUUCACGGGUCAAGGCUGGUCCCCGGGUCCCUUCUCGCUCCGCACCCUGCAGCACACGGGAUGCAUUUGGCUGCAGUUGGAAAGGCGGGAUACCAGCACAGACCGGCUUCUUGCUAGGUCUGGUUCCCUAAGGGGUGGCAGUGGGGCCACGUGCUUCUUGGGGUGUGUCCUGAAGACAGAGAGGGGUCGCUCCCCCGACCACGGAACCAGGUCAGCUUUUCAGCCUCGCUGAGCACCGGAACCUGGGGGAGGGCCAUGACCCGACUGGCGGAGUCUCACCAGAUCCCGCUCUGGAGCUGGAGUCAGGUCAUGAUCUCUGCGUUCAUGGGCUCCCAGCCCCGCUGUGCUGACAGUGCAGAGCCUGCUUGGGAUUCUCGCUCUCCCUCCCUCUGUUCAUCGCUCCCUCUCUCUCUCUUUCUCUGUCUCAAAGAUAAAUAAAUAAACAUUUAAAGAAGAAGAAGGAGGAGGAGGAGGGAGAAGAGUGAUAAUGCUAACAGCUAAUGCACACAGCGUUGGCCACCUAUCAGCUCAUCUAAUCACAGAACAGCCCUUACGAGGUGUCACCGAAGGCAUCUCUGUUGUAGGAAGCCUUUCUAACCCCACGCCAGGCCAGACGCCCCCUCUAUGGCUGGCACAGUCAUCUCUGCUUCCCCCACUGGAGUCCCCAGCGCUGAGCCUUGUAACUGUCUGGCGUCUUGUCUGUUUCCCGUGAGGGCGGGAAAUGGGUCCGACCCCUCUGCACAUGCCCGGUGUCCUCAGCGGGACCAGUCCCGUCUCCUGCCGCCCCACUUCCCCAGCUGGGUCUACUUCACACGCUCAGCACGGAUUUCCCCACCUCCGCUCCUCUGCCUCCU